rnacentral:lncRNA from 1 species
CAUCCAUUCUUCAUCGGCAACCUAUCUUUCUCUUUCUCUCUUCGCUUCUCACCUACUUCUCCUCCUCAUCCUUCUCCAAGCUCGUCCAUGAGCCCUUUCUCUCCAUCGUGGCUCUUUAACUCCACCUCCAACUAUUCUUCGCCAACGACCCCUUUAUCCUCCUCCUCUCCUUUCUCCUCAUCUAUUUCUUCUCAUUCUCCUCC